UACGGGGGGGGCAAGCGUUGUUCGGAAUUACUGGGCGUAAAGGGCGCGUAGGCGGUGCUCUAAGUUAGAUGUGAAAACUCUGGGCUCAACCCAGAGCCUGCAUCUAAAACUGGAGUGCUAGAGUUCUGGAGGGGGUAGCGGAAUUCCUGGUGUAGCGGUGAAAUGCGUAGAUAUCAGGAGGAACACCGGUGGCGAAGGCGGCAUCCGGGACCAACACUGACACUGAGGAGCGAAAGCCAGGGGAGCAAACGGG
rnacentral:rRNA from 1 species